AACGAACGCUGGCGGCAUGCCUAACACAUGCAAGUCGAACGAGACCUUCGGGUCUAGUGGCGCACGGGUGCGUAACGCGUGGGAACCUGCCCUUAGGUUCGGAAUAACUCCCCGAAAGGGGUGCUAAUACCGGAUAAUGUCCUCGGACCAAAGAUUUAUCGCCUUUGGAUGGGCCCGCGUUGGAUUAGCUAGUUGGUAGGGUAAAAGCCUACCAAGGCUACGAUCCAUAGCUGGUCUGAGAGGAUGAUCAGCCACACUGGGACUGAGACACGGCCCAGACUCCUACGGGAGGCAGCAGUGGGGAAUAUUGGAAAAUGGGCGGAAGGCUGAUGCAGCAAUGCCGCGUGAGUGAUGAAGGCCUUAGGGUUGUAAAGCUCUUUUACCCGGGAUGAUAAUGACAGUACCGGGAGAAUAAGCUCCGGCUAACUCCGUG
rnacentral:rRNA from 1 species